rnacentral:lncRNA from 1 species
GUUGUGACCAAGGAAGGCUGUGAUCUGGCCUUCAUAAAAAGUAAUAUUCAUCCUAUCUACUGCUGGCUUAGGCCUGUUCGCAAAAAUCUUCACCAGGUUCUGAAUGCAUACUCCUGGAAUCAAUCCUGUUGGCUCAGGUUCACAGAAGGUAUUUAUAUUCAUUUCAUCUUUGUCCUGGACAUCUGUCUUAGGCUUCCCCUGCUCGCCG